rnacentral:rRNA from 1 species
GGAUGCGAUCAUAAUAGCACUAAACCACC